CCUACGGGUGGCAGCAGUGGGGAAUAUUGCGCAAUGCGCGGAAGAGUGACGCAGCGACGCCGCGUGAAUGACGAAGGCCUUCGGGUCGUAAAGUUCUUUCGACAGGGAAGAAAAUGCCAAUAAGUAACUGUGUAUGUAUUGCCGGUACCUGUAUAAGCAGCACCGGCUAACUCCGUGCCAGCAGCCGCGGUAAUACGGAGGGGGCGAGCGUUGUUCGGAGUGACUGGGCGUAAAGAGCACGAAGGCGGUGUUGUAAGUCAAGGGUGAAAUCCCCGCGCUCAACGUGGGAACUGCCUUUGAAACUGGCAAACUGGAGUGUGUGAGAGGAUAGUGGAAUUCCAGGUGUAGGGGUGAAAUCCGUAGAUAUCUGGAGGAACAUCAGUGGCGAAGGCGACUAUCUGGCACAUAACUGACGCUGAGGAGCGAAAGCGUGGGUAGCAAACAGGAUUAGAUACCCGAGUAGUC
rnacentral:rRNA from 1 species